GAUGAAGAACGUAGCGAAAUGCGAUAAGUAAUGUGAAUUGCAGAAUUCAGUGAAUCAUCGAAUCUUUGAACGCACAUUGCGCCCGCCAGUAUUCUGGCGGGCAUGCCUGUUCGAGCGUCAUUUCAACCAUCAAGCCCCCGGCUUGUGUUGGGGACCUGCGGCUGCCGCAGGCCCUGAAAAGCAGCGGCGGGCUCGCUGUCACACCGAGCGUAGUAGCAUACAUCUCGCUCUGGGCGUGCUGCGGGUUCCGGCCGUUAAACCACCUUCAUAACCCAAGGUUGACCUCGGAUCAGGUAGGAAGACCCGCUGAACUUAAGCAUAUCAAUAAGCGGAGGA
rnacentral:misc_RNA from 1 species